rnacentral:rRNA from 1 species
GACGAACGCUGGCGGCGUGCUUAACACAUGCAAGUCGUACGGUAAGGCCCUUUCGGGGGUCCACGAGUGGCGAACUGGUGAGUAACACGUGAGUAACCUGCCCACAACUUUGGGAUAACGCUAGGAAACUGGUGCUAAUACUGGAUAUGUGCUCCUGCUGCAUGGUGGGGGUUGGAAAGCUCCGGCGGUUGUGGAUGGACUCGCGGCCUAUCAGCUUGUUGGUGGGGUAGUGGCCUACCAAGGCGGCGACGGGUAGCCGGCCUGAGAGGGUGACCGGCCACAUUGGGACUGAGAUACGGCCCAGACUCCUACGGGAGGCAGCAGUGGGGAAUAUUGCACAAUGGGCGCAAGCCUGAUGCAGCAACGCCGCGUGCGGGAUGACGGCCUUCGGGUUGUAAACCGCUUUCAGCAGGGACGAAGCUUUUUGUGACGGUACCUGCAGAAGAAGCACCGGCUAACUACGUG